UAAACGAACAAAGCAUCAGCUCGUAUAAUAGCGGUAAUAUGGUCCGCGAGUCUCUACCAGGCUGCCGAUAACGGCCUGACUACGAGUGGUCUUUUUCAGUUG
rnacentral:ncRNA from 2 species